GAUUGACUCCAUACUUCUUAUAUAGAAAUUAAACUGUACUGCAUGACAUACGGUAAUUUUUUACUUGGGAAAUAGAAGCAGAGUGGUGGGUAGUGCGUACCUCUGGUUACGAAUGCUUCUGGUUACGAACGCUUCAGGUUACGAGCUCCGCUAACCCGGAAGUAGCUGCUCCUGGUUGCGAACUUUGCUCCAGGAUGCGAACGGAAACUGCGCACCAGAGGCACGUGCGCAGCAAGAAACCCCAUUAGCGAAAGCGCGCCUCAGGAUAAGAACGGUUUCAGCUUAAGAACGACCUCCAGAACGAAUUAAGUUCAUAACCAGAGGUACCACUGUAGUUUAAUCACUAGGUGGAGCUCAAUUUACCUGUGUCUGGAUGGAGUAAGGUGUUUCCUGUUGCUGUUCUAGUUACAUCCACACCAUACAUCAUAGCACAGGGUUUCUUCCAAUAAAUCCUGGAAACCAUAGUUUAUCCGUCAGUGCUACAAUUCCCAGCACCUUAAUGAGCUACAGUUUCCAGGAGUCUUUGGAGAAAGCUGUGUGCUUUAAAUGUAUAGUGGUGAUUGUAGAAGCUGCCCAAAAACCUUGCAUUGGCAAGUAGAUUGGCAACCAGUUUAAUUUAAUGCUGAAAAUGCCAAUGAAGACUGGUGCUGGGACUGUAGCACACACGCAUGCCCGUUAGAAACAUGUAAAUCCCAGAAUGUGGAGUUCAAUGUGUUCUUCACAAGUCUAGAUGUAGGUGAUCUGGUGUGUGUUUCGAAUAAGUGGAAGGGGAAUGUCCACAGAAUUUGUGAUAUUGGAAAUAAUUUGAUGUAGAACUCAUUGUUAAUUUCUGCCUUCUGGGGCUGUUCUUCCAAGUCCUUUUUCCAUGCUGGUGAAGAACACAAGAGAUGUUUUUGCUGCCUAGGUAACCAUAACAUAUUAUCUAUCCAGCUUUAGUUAUUUAUGCCAUCACUUCUGCUUAUGUAAAUUGAAGAUGCUCUUCAGAAGAUUUUCACAAAUAGCUCUCAAAAUUGCAGUGUCCUUUUCUCGAGACAAUUUCCAUGAAGGCAAAAUGUCUCCCUUUCCCUCCAUUGCUUAGUAUCUGUCACCAAAGGUUGUUUUAGCUGCAAAUGUUGGAUUCAGUUCAUGAUUACACAGUGGUUAGAGGAACACAGUUACAUUUCCAUGGUAAUGUUGUUCUUUCUUAGUCUCUUAAAUUGAUUAAUGGCAUAGUGGUUGCUGACUUUUCAGACGAGGCAGUUAGCAAAAGCUCUACGUUUAACAAAUCUCCCUUUGAAACUACAAGGACCCAUUGAUGUAAUUAAACAUCUGGCUAGAUUGGCUGUCAAGUGCUAAAUGCAGCAAACUGAAAUUUAAUGACUGAAUCUCAAAUGUAAUUGAAUUUUAAACAUUUCCUGAUUAUGUGCAUUAUCUGCAUAGGUUUGCAUCGGUAGGUCUGUAAAAAAGUGCUGUAAAAAAGGUCUGUAAAAAAGUACUGAAUAUUUGGAUAGGGAAUUUUAAAAGUAUGAAGAAGAAGAAGAGUUUCAUGCUGGCUUGGCCUGACAGGAAUUCCCUGACGGGAAUUGCCAGGAGCCAUGUGUGUAGUAUUGUGGGCUCAAUUUUAUGGAAGUCCCUUACAGUUGAGAUUAGUCCCUGUCCUUGUUGAAUGUCCAGCAUUUACUGAAGACUGUUUAUAAUUAAUCAAGCAGGGUUUUUAAUUGAAUUCUGAUUUAAAAGCUCAUUUUUAGCUUCAUUGUAUUUAGUUUCCUGCAUAUUGCUUCAAAAGGAUUGUGGUUAAGCAGUAUAUGAAUUGUUGAAAUAAUAAUUUAUCAAUACCAAUUGUCUGUUUGAUUGGGAAGGAAGGAAGGCAAGGUAGUGGUAGUGGUAGUCACUUGGGGUGAAGUGGAAGAAAAAUUCUGUUUACUAGCUGGGGUUAAAAAACUGGAUUUAUUCCAAUGUAUACAAAGUGGUGCCUUAUACCUGUGCGAAAUUGCUCACAUUUGUGAUAUGCUCGAAUAGGGAACAAAUAUGAUGGUCAUCUUUUCCUUACCACUUUGCUUCAUUCACUAUUCAGAGCUAUUAGUAGCCAAGUCAGUACACAUUAUGCUUCUUUUGUAUGCAUUUCUUUCUUUAAAUACUCUGACGUAAAAUAAUAAGCUAGUUACAUGAUGGACUUUUGUGUGACAAGAUGUUCCGAACAGAUUAUGAAAGAUGAAUGUGUUCCAUUCACAAGCUUAAAGCAACAGAGAAUCUCAUCAAAUAGAGAACAAAUCUCAGUGAGUCCAAUUACUAAGCGUUUACGAUGUACAUUUGUAGUAAGUAGUACACUGGCAUGCUGCAAUUUCAGAAAUCAUGGCUUCUCAUACAGGUUCAGUGAAAUUUGACUUCUUUUUCAGAGCUGAACUUCUUGCUCGAGCCUGCAAACAAUUCAGUCGUGGUUCUUCAAAAAUGCAAACUACU